UCCGCGCAAACGAUUAAAUGCUGUAUAUCUCUAGUGAUUUGGACUAGAAGUCUCUACCACCGAGCCUAUCUUGGUGACUACAGUUUUUCGGUGUAGCCUA
rfam:Vibrio nereis strain DSM 19584 contig0010, whole genome shotgun sequence.